AUGACAACAACAACAAAACAAAGAGGCCAGGAGGGAACGGAAAGUUCAGGGGCCCAGGGCAGAGCGACAGGGCAGGAAUCCAGGGUGGAGCAGGUGGAACUGGAGCCCACCACAGAUGGGACUGACGCCCACCAGGGCGGUGCAGAGAACCACCACAGCCUUGCGGUUGAGACAGAGGCCUACCAGGGCGGUGCAGAGGACCACCACAGCCGAGCAGACGAGACAGAACCCCCCAAGGCAGAGCAGAGGACCACCACAGCCGAACAGACGAGACAGAACCCCCCAAGGCAGAGCAGAGGACCACUACAGCCGUGCAGACAAGACAGAAGCCCACCAGGGCGACGCAGAGGACUACCACAGCCGAACAGACGAGACAGAACCCCCCAAGGCAGAGCAGAGGACCACUACAGCCGUGCAGACGAGACAGAAGCCCACCAGGGCGACGCAGAGGACUACCACAGCUGUGCAGUUGAGACAGAAGCCCACAAGGGCGGAGCAGAGGUCCACCACAGUGGGAUCGAUGGCACAGAAGAGCAAGUCUGGUCAGGUAAGGCUGAAAUAGAGAACAUGAACAGGUUAAGGGUGGCCUCCGUGAUGAGAUGGUAGAUGGUCUCCAUGGCCAUGACAGGGCAGGCGGUGAGUUCCUGGAUGGCCUCCAUGGCCAUGACAGGAUAGGACGAGUGCUCAGGAAGUUCAGCAGAGACGUGAAGAGGCUCUGGUAGAUCCGUGGUGAUUUGACUGGGUUCAGGAAGAUCAACUGUGGCUUGACUUCGUUCAGGAAGAUCAAUUGUGCCUUUACUUCGUUCAGGAAGAUCAACUGUGGCUUGACUUGACUCAUGAGGUCUAACUGUGGUUUUGCUUGACUCAUGGGUGUUAAUGGGGACCUAACUCGACUCUGGAGGGACCACGGGGACCUGACUCGACUCUGGAGGGACCACGGGGACCUGGUCAGUGGGGACCUGACUCGACUCUGGACACUGCAUUUUCCAACAUGACAAUGCCAGACCACAUUCUGCAUCAAUUACAACAUCAUGGCUGUGUAGAAGAAGGAUCUGGGUACUGAAAUGGCCAGCCUGCAGUCCAGAUCUUUCACCCAUAGAAAACAUUUGGCGCAUCAUUAAGAGGAAGAUGCGACAAAGAAGACCUAAGACAGUUGAGCAACUGGGUUUGUAUAUAUAUAUAUAUAUAUAUAUAUAUAUAUAUAUGUAUAUGUAUAUAUAUGUAUAUGUAUAUUAUAUAUAUAUAUAUAUAUAUAUAUAUAUAUAUAUAUAUAUAUAUAUAUAUAUAUAUGUGUGUGUGUAUAUAUAUAUAUAUAUAUAUAUAUAUAUAUAUAUAUAUAUAUAUAUAUAUAUUAAUAAACAUACAGUUUCAUGAUGUCAGGAUUCAAAUAGAGUCUCAAACUAUGUGUCCCAUACUCCGAGAAGCCAACCACAUGCAAAGCAAAAAAUGUGGUGUAAAUCCCACAUCGCAAAUAUGGUGGAUUCUGUGGUUUCCUUUUGAAGGGCAAAAUUAAUAACUGGUACGGAAUAAGAAUUUAUUUACACAUUUUAAUAAAAUGAAAGGAUAGAAAUUAUUUAUAGAAGUGGAUAUGCUUAUACAUAUUCAAGGCCCAUUAACUCAGGGAAGAAAAUGGGAGACUUUAUACAAACACAAAUGAGGGACUAUGGACUUAAUGAACUAGACACAGGUGAACUGAUUAAUGCAAUUGAGGGGAAACAGAAACUGGGUCAAUGAGCAAAACUAAUGCAGGAGAACAGGAACAGAAAGAAACAAACUAAUGUCAUCACUUGUGGUAGUUGCCAAAGCCUCUGUAAUGUUCAUUUCCAGAAGUAGUGUUAACCGAAUCCUGAUAACAAUAUUAAAAAGUAUGAAAAAUUUGUGUUUGAUAAAGAUACAAAUAAAACAUGAAAUCCCAGUUCAGAUUUUAUCUAUAAAAAUACUUGUGUAAUAAAAUUGUG
ensembl:lncRNA